UUUUUUUAAAAAGCAUAUAUAUUUUUGUAAUAGUUUAUUUCAUUUUUCAAGUAUAUAAAUAUCAGAACAGAAGAAAAAAGUAAAUCUCUCAAAUAAUUAAAGUAAAUCACAAACAUUUGUAUCAAAACUGAUUUUAAGCAUGCAUCACCAGCAAUAUGCAUGUUAGUAUGACUAGAAAAACUGUUGAAUGGAAAAAUACUAAAUGAAUUAAACUGCUUAGUCAUUGUUUAGAAAUGUCUCUCAUAGUUCCUAUAAAUAAGUACGUUGAAUAUCUUUCAACUUAGUCCUACCAGCUAUCCAACAGCCAUACAAGUUAACAUAUCUAUCAACUUAACUAUAUCAAUCAUAUAACAAUCCCAUC